rfam:Clostridium disporicum strain 2789STDY5834856 genome assembly, contig: SCcontig000028
ACUUGUGCACAUCCUGGGUGAAUAUAGUGAACAUGAGUAUCUAUUCCUCCAGCAGUUAAUAUUCUUCCUUCUCCAGCUAGUGCUUCUGUUCCUACUCCUACUACGAAAUCAACAUUAUCCAUAGUAUCAGGGUUACCACCCUUACCUAUAGCAAGAAUCUUUCCAUCUUUGAUUCCUACGUCAGCUUUAUAUAUACCAGUAUAAUCAACUAUUGUUGCACCAGUAAUUAUCAUAUCUGCAACUUCUGGAUGCUUAUUAGUUUGGGUCGCAUUUUGCCCCAU